AUAAGUUGUACUGGACACAUGGCUAUGUGCUCAUCUCCAAAGAGGUGGAGGACUGUGUUCCCGUGUUUCUGAAGCACAUUGCCCACGACAUAUACGUCUGCGGGAAGACCAUUAACCUGCUGAAGCUCUGCUGCCCCCGGCAUUACCUCUGUUGGUCCGACGUCCCCGUCCCCCGGAUCUCGGUGAUUUUCUCCCUUGAGGAGUUGAAGGAGAUUGAGAAGGACUGUGCCGUCUACGUUGGGCGCAUGGAGAGGGUGGCCCGCCACAGCUCUGUCAGCAAGGAGGAGAAGGAGUUACGUAUGGAAAUUGCAAAACAAGAAUUAAUCGCUCAUGCCCGGGAAGCAGCAUCCAGGGUCCUGAGUGCACUGAGUGACCGGCAGAUGUCAGAACGGAUGGCCUUGGACGCCCGGAAGCGUGAGCAGUUUCAGAGGCUGAAAGAACAGUUUGUGAAGGACCAGGAGGUGGGUAGGACCUGUCCCUGCGGGGUCAGGCCUGUCAGUCCUGAUUUCACAGGACAGGCUCUGUGUGUUUUAUAGCGACGCCAGGCGGCCAGGCAGGAGGAGCUGGAUGAUGACUUCAGCUACGCCCGUGAGCUCCGAGACAGGGAGAGAAGGCUGAAGUCCCUGGAGGAGGAGCUGGAGAGGAAGGCGAGGCAGGCUCUGGUCGACCACUACAGCAAGCUCUCUGCAGAGGCAGCUCGUCGGGAGCAGAAGGCGCUGUGGAGAAUCCAGAGGCACCGACUGGAGAGUGCACGGCUUCGUUUUCUCUUAGAAGAUGAGAAACACAUUCAGGAGAUGCUGAAAGCAGUGUCUGAGGCUCACCAGCCCCAGGAGCCGCCAGAUGUCCUGUUAAGCGUGCACCCCCAGGUCACAUCUCCUGGCCCUGAGCACCCAGAGGGAGGCCAAGGCUGUGAUUCUGGGUCUGCGGAGCAACACUCGGCUGCCUGGGAUGGCCGGAACAGGCCAGGCCUGCUGACCCCACAGCCCCUUAAGCCUCUAGCAGUGGGGGCUGGUGGCACGGGGCUGCAGCAGGCGGAGGAGGCCAGACCCUUCUCUGACAGCCUCAGCAUUGGAGACUUCCUACCUGUGGGCCCAGGGGCUGAGCCAUCCAUGCAGACUGGCAUGGUCCCUCUCCUGGAGGUGGCGCUGCAGACCAUUAACUUGGACCUGCCCCCCUCAGCUCCUGGGGAGGCACCCGCAGUAGCCAGCACUCAGCCCUCCAGGCCACAGGAGUACGACUUUAGUACUGUCCUGAGGCCAGCUGUGGCCACCUCACCUGCACCAGGGCCCCUGCAGGCUGCAGAGUGCAGCUUGGGCAGCUCAGGGCUACAGCUGUGGGAGGACAGCUGUGGGAAGCUGGAUGCCUGUGGCUCCACCUUGCGGGAGACUCUGCCCCCUUCAUACCCACCCAGGCGUGCUGCUCUGGAGGAGGGGAGCAGCCAGCCCACAGAGCAGCUCUGUGGGCAGGAGUCAGGGGGUGGUCUUCCCACAGGGUACUACGCUUCUAAAAUAGCUCCCACCCGGCCACGGUGGAACACCCACGGGCACGUGUCUGAUGCCAGCAUCAGGGUCGGGGAGAACAUGUCAGAUGUGGCUCCCACCCGGCCACGGUGGAACACGCAUGGGCACGUGUCUGACGCCAGCAUCAGCUUGGGGGAGUCUGUGUCAGAUGUGGCUCCCACUAGGCCACGGUGGAACAUCCAUGGACAUGUGUCCAACGCCAGCAUCAGGGUCGGGGAGAAUGUGUCGGACGUGGCUCCCACCCGGCCACGGUGGAACAUCCACGGACAUGUGUCUGACACCAGCAUCAGGUUUGGGGAGAACGUGUCGGACGUGGCUCCCACCCGGUCACGGUGGAACAUCCACGGACAUGUGUCCAACGCCAGCAUCAGCUUGGGGGAGCCUGUGUCGGACGUGGCUCCCACCCGGCCACGGUGGAACACCCAUGCACCCAUCCCUCCGCCCCACGUGAUGCUGGGGGAGCUCUCACCAGAAGCUGAGCCCAACACACCCAGGCCCCAACAGAGCCCCGCUGGCCACACGUCCCAGUCAGCACUCAGCCUGGGAGCACAGAGCACUGUGCUGGACUGUGGGCCACGGCUGCCUGUAGAAGUGGGGCCAUCUCUGUCCUCCCCCAGCUUGGGCUGCGGGGAGGAGAGCAUCAGCGUGGGGGAGAACGUGUCGGACGUGGCUCCCACCCAGCCAUCGUGGCCCAACACCCCGGGAGACAGUGUCUCUGAAGAACUAGGUCAGAGUAGGGUGGCUGGUGGUCAGGAGUGGGACUGUGGGACCCACAGAGCCUGGGAGGUAGGCGGGCAGUGGGGUUGGUGGCAUGUGAAGUUCCCCUCAGGCCUCCUUGUCAGCCAGGACCUGGGCUGCUGUGGGGGACAUGGGAGGGGCUGCUUGAGUCAGGGCCAGCUCUGCUGUGUCCCCUCCACAGGCACUCGGCCCUGAUGCCCUCAUGUCCACUUGUGUCCACACAGGCCCUGGGAGGAGCGGGGACACUGAAGACCUCUCUCCAAGUUGGCCUCUGAACUCACAGGAAGACACAGCUGCCCACAGCAGCCCAGGACCUGGUGAGGAGGAGGAGGAGGCAGGGGCGGCGGAGGCCCAGGGCAGGGAGCAGGCCUACCUGGCAGGCCUGGCAGGGCAGUACCAUUUGGAGCGGUACCCGGACAGUUACGAGUCCAUGUCCGAGCCACCCAUCGCCCACCUUUUGCGCCCUGUGCUUCCCCGGGCCUUCGCCUUCCCCGUGGACACCCAGGUCCAGUCUGCCACUGAUGAGACUGCCGUGCAGCUGAGCGAGUUGCUGACGCUGCCCGUGCUCAUGAAGCGCUCCAUCACAGCACCAUUGGCUGCCCAGUGAGUGCCCCUGCCCCAGUCUGCCCACCCAUCCCGUCCUGGCCCGCCCUGACUCCAGCUCCCUCCUGCCAGCAUCUCCUUGGUGAACAAGGCCGCUGUCGACUACUUCUUCGUGGAGCUGCACCUGGAGGCGCACUACGAGGCACUGCGGCACUUCCUGCUGAUGGAGGAUGGCGAGUUCGCCCAGUCCCUCAGCGACCUGCUCUUUGAGAAGCUUGGAGCUGGGCAAACGCCCGGAGAGCUGCUCAACCCGCUGGUGCUGAACUCUGUGCUGAGCAAGGCCCUGCAGUGCAGCCUGCAUGGGGACACCGCGCACGCCUCCAACCUCUCUCUCGCUCUCAAGUACCUGCCCGAGGUGUUUGCCCCCAACGCCCCGGAUGUGCUGAGCUGCCUAGAGCUCAGGUACAAGGUCAGCAGCAGCCCUGGUCACGGAGGAUGGGACAGGGGCCUGCCUGUGGGAUGCCUGCUGAGCCACACCUCCCGGCAGGUGGACUGGCCCCUCAACAUUGUCAUCACCGAGGGCUGCCUGAGCAAGUACAGCGGCGUCUUCUCCUUCCUGCUGCAGCUGAAGCUCAUGAUGUGGGCGCUCAAGGACGUCUGCUUCCACCUCAAGCGCACAGGUGAGGCCCCGCCGGAGCCCGGCGCCCCGUACCCCUGACUUGAGGCUGUGCUCACCUCUGCCCUCUGCCCUCUGCCAGCCCUGCUGAGCCACAUGGCCAGCUCCGUGCAGUUCCGCCAGCUGCAGCUGUUCAAGCACGAGAUGCAGCACUUCGUGAAGGUCAUCCAGGGCUACAUCGCCAACCAGAUCCUGCACGUCACCUGGUGCGAGUUCAGGGCCAGGCUGGCCACCGUGGGUGACCUGGAGGAGAUCCAGCGUGCGCAUGCAGAGUACCUGCACAAGGCCGUCUUCAGGUGAGGCCUGGGCAGCGGCUGCGUCCCUGUGGUCACAGCUCAGCCCACCCAGCAGUACUGCUUCCCCCCAGGGGCCUGCUCACGGAGAAGGCGGCGCCUGUCAUGAACAUCAUCCACAGCAUCUUCAGCCUGGUACUCAAGUUCCGCAGCCAGCUCAUCUCCCAGGCCUGGGGGCCCGCUGGGGGCCCGCGGGGUGCAGAGCACCCCAACUUUGCACUCAUGCAGCAGUCCUACAACACCUUCAAGUACUACUCCCACUUUCUCUUCAAAGUGGUGACCAAGCUGGUGAACCGGGGCUACCAGCCCCACCUGGAGGACUUUCUGCUGCGCAUUAACUUCAACAACUACUACCAGGACGCCUGAGGCUGCUCUUCGGGGGACAUGCACAAUAAAGUGUCCUUGGA
rnacentral:sRNA from 1 species